UCCGGGGUAGCUCAAUAGGCAGAGCAUCCGGCUGUUAACCGGAGGGUUGCGGGUUCGAGUCCCGCCCCCGGAG
rnacentral:tRNA from 1 species